rnacentral:rRNA from 1 species
CAGGCUUAACACAUGCAAGUCGAGGGGCAUCAUGAACAAAGCUUGCUUUCUUUGAUGGCGACCGGCGCACGGGUGAGUAACACGUAUCCAACCUGCCCUUUACUCGGGGAUAGCCUUUCGAAAGAAAGAUUAAUACCCGAUGGCAUAAUGAUUCCGCAUGGUUUCAUUAUUAAAGGAUUCCGGUAAAGGAUGGGGAUGCGUUCCAUUAGGUUGUUGGUGAGGUAACGGCUCACCAAGCCUUCGAUGGAUAGGGGUUCUGAGAGGAAGGUCCCCCACAUUGGAACUGAGACACGGUCCAAACUCCUACGGGAGGCAGCAGUGAGGAAUAUUGGUCAAUGGGCGCUAGCCUGAACCAGCCAAGUAGCGUGAAGGAUGAAGGCUCUAUGGGUCGUAAACUUCUUUUAUAUAAGAAUAAAGUGCAGUAUGUAUACUGUUUUGUAUGUAUUAUAUGAAUAAGGAUCGGCUAACUCCGUGCCAGCAGCCGCGGUAAUACGGAGGAUCCGAGCGUUAUCCGGAUUUAUUGGGUUUAAAGGGAGCGUAGGUGGACUGGUAAGUCAGUUGUGAAAGUUUGCGGCUCAACCGUAAAAUUGCAGUUGAUACUGUCAGUCUUGAGUACAGUAGAGGUGGGCGGAAUUCGUGGUGUAGCGGUGAAAUGCUUAGAUAUCACGAAGAACUCCGAUUGCGAAGGCAGCUCACUGGACUGCAACUGACACUGAUGCUCGAAAGUGUGGGUAUCAAACAGGAUUAGAUACCCUGGUAGUCCACACAGUAAACGAUGAAUACUCGCUGUUUGCGAUAUACAGUAAGCGGCCAAGCGAAAGCAUUAAGUAUUCCACCUGGGGAGUACGCCGGCAACGGUGAAACUCAAAAGAAUUGACGGGGGCCCGCACAAGCGGAGGAACAUGUGGUUUAAUUCGAUGAUACGCGAGGAACCUUACCCGGGUUUAAAUUGCAGUGGAAUGAUGUGGAAACAUGUCAGUGAGCAAUCACCGCUGUGAAGGUGCUGCAUGGUUGUCGUCAGCUCGUGCCGUGAGGUGUCGGCUUAAGUGCCAUAACGAGCGCAACCCUUAUCUUUAGUUACUAACAGGUCAUGCUGAGGACUCUAGAGAGACUGCCGUCGUAAGAUGUGAGGAAGGUGGGGAUGACGUCAAAUCAGCACGGCCCUUACGUCCGGGGCUACACACGUGCUACAAUGGGGGGUACAGAAGGCAGCUAGCGGGUGACCGUAUGCUAAUCCCAAAAGCCUCUCUCAGUUCGGAUCGAAGUCUGCAACCCGACUUCGUGAAGCUGGAUUCGCUAGUAAUCGCGCAUCAGCCACGGCGCGGUGAAUACGUUCCCGGGCCUUGUACACACCGCCCGUCAAGCCAUGGGAGCCGGGGGUACCUGAAGUACGUAACCGCAAGGAUCGUCCUAGGGUAAAACUGGUGACUGGGGC